UACGUAGGGUGCAAGCGUUAAUCGGAAUUACUGGGCGUAAAGCGUGCGCAGGCGGUUUGUUAAGUCAGAUGUGAAAUCCCCGGGCUCAACCUGGGAAUGGCAUUUGAGACUGGCAGGCUAGAGUGUGUCAGAGGGGGGUAGAAUUCCACGUGUAGCAGUGAAAUGCGUAGAGAUGCGGAGGAACACCGAUGGCGAAGGCAGCCCCCUGGGCCAACACUGACGCUCAGGCACGAAAGCGUGGGGAGCAAACAGG
rnacentral:rRNA from 1 species